rnacentral:rRNA from 1 species
ACGGGAGGCAGCAGCUACGAAUAUUCCGCAAUGGACGAAAGUCUGACGGAGCGACGCCGCGUGGAUGAUGAAGGCCGUACGGUUGUAAAAUCCUUUUAUGACUGAGGAAUAAGUAUGGUGAGAGAAACGCCAUAUGGUGACUGUAGGUCAUGAAUAAGCAACGGCUAAUUACGUGCCAGCAGCCGCGGUAACACGUAAGUUGCGAGCGUUGUUCGGAAUUAUUGGGCGUAAAGGGCAUGUAGGCGGUUUUGCAAGCUUGGUGUGAAAUCCCGGAGCUUAACUCCGGAAUUGCGUUGAGAACUGCAUAACUAGAGUCACUGAGGGGCAAUCAGAAUUCCAGGUGUAGGGGUGAAGUCUGUAGAUAUCUGGAAGAAUACCAAUGGCGAAGGCAGGUUACCAGCAGAUGACUGACGCUGAGGUGCGAAGGUGCGGGGAGCAAACAGGAUUAGAUACCCUGGUA